GCACAAGCAGCGGAGCGUGUGGUUUAAUUCGAUGCUACACGAAGAACCUUACCAGGGUUUGACAUGCAAGUGGUAGGAACCGAAAGGCGACGACCUUCGGGAGCUUGCACGAGGUGCUGCAUGGCUGUCGUCAGCUCGUGUCGUGAGAUGUUCGGUUAAGUCCGCUAACGAGCGCAACCCUCGCUGUGUGUUACAAGUGUCACACGGGUACUGCCGGUCUUAAGCCGGAGGAGGUGGGAUGACGUCAAGUCAGCAUGGCCUUUAUGUCCUGGGCUACACACACGCUACAAUGGCCAACACAAUAGGUUGCUAAGCCGCGAGGUGGAGCCAAUCCUCAAAGUUGGUCUCAGUUCAGAUUGUAGGCUGCAACCCGCCUGCAUGAAGAUGGAGUUGCUAGUAACCGCAGGUCAGCUAUACUGCGGUGAAUACGUUCCCGGGGCUU
rnacentral:rRNA from 1 species